rnacentral:rRNA from 1 species
GUAGGUGGCAAGCGUUGUCCGGAAUUAUUGGGCGUAAAGCGCGCGCAGGGCGGUCCUUUAAGUCUGAUGUGAAAGCCCACGGCUCAACAGUGGAGGGUCAUUGGAAACUGGGGGACUUGAGUACAGAAGAGGAAAGCGGAAUUCCAAGUGUAGCGGUGAAAUGCGUAGAGAUUUGGAGGAACACCAGUGGCGAAGGCGGCUUUCUGGUCUGUAACUGACGCUGAGGCGCGAAAGCGUGGGGAGCAAACAGGAUUAGAUACCCUGGUAGUCCACGCCGUAAACGAUGAGUGCUAAGUGUUAGGGGGUUUCCGCCCCUUAGUGCUGCAGCUAACGCAUUAAGCACUCCGCCUGGGGAGUACGGCCGCAAGGCUG